rnacentral:lncRNA from 10 species
CCUCAAGGUUCACCCAUGUGUCAGAAUUUUCUUCCUUUUUGUUUUUCGUUUUUGAGACAGAGUCUCACUCUAUUGCCCAGGCUGGAGUACAGUGGCACGAUCUUGGCUCACUGCAACCUCCGCCUCCCGGGUUCAAGUGAUUCUCAUGCCUCAGCCUCCCAAGUACCUAGGACUACAGGUGCGCACCACUAAGCCGGGCUAAUAUUUUGUUAUUUUUAGUAGAGAUGGGGUUUUGCCAUGUUGGCCAGGCUGGUCUUGAACUCCUGACCUCAAGUGAUCCGCCUGCCUCUGCCUCCCAAAGUGCUGGGAUUACAGGUGUGAGCCACCACGCCCAGCAGUUUUCUUCCUCUUUAAGACAAAUUUUUGGCUAUUGUGAGUAAUGCUGUUGAGAACAUGGGUAUACACAUAUCUCUUCAAGACUCAGCUUUCCAUUUUCUUAGGUAUAUACCCAGAAGUAAAAUUGCUGGAUUAUAUUGUAAUUCUAUUUUCAAUUUUUUAAGGAACCACCAUAUGCAGAAGACUUUAAAACAUACAUUUUGUCACUCCCUUGCUCAGAACACUCCACUGACUUUUCAUUCCUCUUAGAACAACAUCCAAGACCCCUUCUUAUGGCCUGCGAGGCCUCAUAUAACCAGGCCCAUCGUUAAAUAAGUUCUCUAAAGUUCAACAGCUAGUAAUUGACAAAGGUGGGGUUUGAACCGAGGCAGUUGGGAUCCAGAAUUAUAUUAUAUUAUAUUAUUAUUAUAUUAUAUUAUAUUAUAUUAUAUUAUUAUUAUGCGCUUCUCAUUAUAAAUGUAUAUUAUGUGUAAGAUAUGCAUAUGUUAUGUAUGCGUUUGUUUAUUGUCUGUCUCCCACAUUGGGUGUAAGAUCCAUGAGGGCAGGAACUUUAUUCUGUUUACCAAUCCCAUGAUUGGUUAGCUUUCUAACUGGGAUCCAGCUGUGGGUCACCAUAUUACUUUUUUUUCUCUAAUUUUAUUUUAUUUUGAUUUUUUUUGAGACAGGGUCUCGCUGUGUCGCCCAGGCUGGAGUGCAGUGGUGUGAUCUCAGCUCACUGCAACCUCUGCUUCCCGGGUUCAAUCAGUUCUCCUGUCUCAGCCUCCUGAGUAGCUGGGAUUACAGGUGUGCUCCACUGCACCCAGCUAAUUUUUGUAUUUUUAGUCGAGAUGAAGUUUCACCAUGUUGGCCAGCUGGUCUGGCUUCAAGUGAUCUGCCUGCUUCCGCCUCCCAAAGUGCUGGGAUUACAGGUGUGAGCCACCGCGUCCAGCCUUUAAUUUUAAAUAUGCUUAGGAGAAUCUUCCCAGCUACUUUUUUCACCAGACUGUCAU